UACGUAGGGUGGCAAGCGUUGUCCGGAAUUAUUGGGCGUAAAGCGCGCGCAGGUGGUUUCUUAAGUCUGAUGUGAAAGCCCACGGCUCAACCGUGGAGGGUCAUUGGAAACUGGGGAACUUGAGUGCAGGAGAGAAGAGUGGAAUUCCACGUGUAGCGGUGAAAUGCGUAGAGAUGUGGAGGAACACCAGUGGCGAAGGCGACUCUUUGGCCUGUAACUGACACUGAGGCGCGAAAGCGUGGGGAGCAAACAGG
rnacentral:rRNA from 1 species